rnacentral:rRNA from 1 species
GAUCAUGGCUCAGGAUGAACGCUAGCUACAGGCUUAACACAUGCAAGUCGAGGGGAAACGACAGAGGAAGCUUGCUUCCUUUGGGCGUCGACCGGCGCACGGGUGAGUAACGCGUAUCCAACCUUCCCGCAAGUAAGGGAUAACCCGUAGAAAUGCGGCCUAAUACCUUAUGUUUUCCUUAGAUGGCAUCUGAUGAGGAACAAAGAUCCGUCGCUUGCGGAUGGGGAUGCGUCCGNUAUUAGUUCGG